AUACGUAGGGUGCAAGCGUUAAUCGGAAUUACUGGGCGUAAAGCGUGCGCAGGCGGUUUUUUAAGACAGUGGUGAAAUCCCCGGGCUCAACCUGGGAACUGCCAUUGUGACUGCAAGGCUGGAGUGCGGCAGAGGGGGAUGGAAUUCCGCGUGGAGCAGUGAAAUGCGUAGAUAUGCGGAGGAACACCGAUGGCGAAGGCAAUCCCCUGGGCCUGCACUGACGCUCAUGCACGAAAGCGUGGGGAGCAAACAGGAUUAGAUACCCUGGUAGUCCACGCCCUAAACGAUGUCAACUGGUUGUUGGGGAUUUAUUUUCUCAGUAACGAAGCUAACGCGUGAAGUUGACCGCCUGGGGAGUACGGCCGCAAGGUUGAAACUCAAAUGAAUUGACGGGG
rnacentral:rRNA from 1 species